rnacentral:rRNA from 1 species
GACGAACGCUGGCGGCGUGCCUAAUACAUGCAAGUUGAGCGAUGAAGAUUGGUGCUUGCACCAAUUUGAAGAGCAGCGAACGGGUGAGUAACGCGUGGGGAAUCUGCCUUUGAGCGGGGGACAACAUUUGGAAACGAAUGCUAAUACCGCAUAACAACUUUAAACAUAAGUUUUAAGUUUGAAAGAUGCAAUUGCAUCACUCAAAGAUGAUCCCGCGUUGUAUUAGCUAGUUGGUGAGGUAAAGGCUCACCAAGGCGAUGAUACAUAGCCGACCUGAGAGGGCGAUCGGCCACAUUGGGACUGAGACACGGCCCAAACUCCUACGGGAGGCAGCAGUAGGGAAUCUUCGGCAAUGGACGAAAGUCUGAACGAGCAACGCCGCGUGAGUGAAGAAGGUUUUCGGAUCGUAAAACUCUGUUGGUAGAGAAGAACGUUGGUGAGAGUGGAAAGCUCAUCAAGUGACGGUAACUACCCAGAAAGGGACGGCUAACUACGUG